GAUGAACGCUGGCGGCGUGCCUAAUACAUGCAAGUCGAGCGAACAGACGAUGAGCUUGUUCCUCUGACGUUAGCGGCGGACGGGUGAGUAACACGUGGAUAACCUACCUAUAAUACUGGGAUAACUUCGGGAAACCGGAGCUAAUACCGGAUAAUAUAUUGAACCGCAUGGUUCAAUAGUGAAAGACGGUUUUGCUGUCACUUAUAGAUGGAUCCGCGCCGCAUUAGCUAGUUGGUAAGGUAACGGCUUACCAAGGCAACGAUGCGUAGCCGACCUGAGAGGGUGAUCGGCCAAACUGGAACUGGGACACGGUCCAGACUCCUACGGGAGGCAGCAGUAGGGAAUCUUGCGCAAUGGGCGAAAGCCUGACGGAGCAACGCCGCGUGAGUGAUGAAGGUAUUCGGAUCGUAAAACUCUGUUAUUAGGGAAGAACAAAUGUGUAAGUAAAUAUGCACGUCUUGACGGUACCUAAUCAGAAAGCCACGGCUAACUACGUG
rnacentral:rRNA from 1 species